rnacentral:rRNA from 1 species
CCUACGGGAGGCUGCAGUGGGGAAUAUUGGGCAAUGGGCGCAAGCCUGACCCAGCAACGCCGCGUGAAGGAAGAAGGCUUUCGGGUUGUAAACUUCUUUUGUCAGGGACGAAGCAGGUGACGGUACCUGACUUGUAAGCCACGGCUAACUACGUGCCAGCAGCCGCGGUAAUACGUAGGGGGCAAGCGUUAUCCGGAUUUACGGGGUGUAAAGGGCGGGUAGGCGGGACGUCAAGUCAGAUGUGAAAACCACGGGCUCAACCUGUGAACUGCAUUCGAAACUGGAAGUCUUGAGUACUGUGGAGGGGGGCGGAAUUCCUAGUGUAGCGGUGAAAUGCGUAGAUAUUAGGAGGAAUACCAGUGGCGAAGGCGGUCCGCUGGACAGCGACUGACGCUGAGGUGCGAAAGCGUGGGGAGCAAACAGGAUUAGAUACCCGAGUAGUC